GAUGAACGCUGGCGGCGUGCCUAAUACAUGCAAGUCGAGCGAACAGAUGAGGACCUUGCUCCUCUGACGUUAUCGGCGGACGGGUGGGUAACACGUGGAUAACCUACCUAUAAGACUUGGAUAACUUCGGGAAGCCGGAGCUAAUACCGGAUAAUAUAUUGAACCUCAUGGUUCAAUAGUGAAAGACGGUUUUGCUGUCACUUAUAGAUGGAUUCGCGCCGCAUUAGCUAGUUGGUAAGGUAACGGCUUACCAAGGCAACGAUGCGUAGCCGACCUGAGAGGGUGAUCGGCCACACUGGAACUGAGACACGGUCCAGACUCCUACGGGAGGCAGCAGUAGGGAAUCUUCCGCAAAGGGCGAAAGCCUGACGGAGCAACGCCGCGUGAGUGAUGAAGGUCUUCGGAUCGUAAAACUCUGUUAUUAGGGAAGAACAAAUGUGUAAGUAACUAUGCACGUCUUGACGGUACCUAAUCAGAAAGCCACGGCUAACUACGUG
rnacentral:rRNA from 1 species